UACCGGUCAGACAUGGUGGAAAACCACCAAGGUCCAAAGCCUACUUUCCCUGGGCCCUCCGGCAAAGGAUGGGCCAAUAACAGGAAUUAGCAUUUAGACAAUAAGGAUGGACAGAAAACAGGAACUUGCAGUAAGCAGGCCUUACUGGCAGGAGGGGACAAGAGCAUCCACCGUUUCCUUUGCUUGGCUGAACUCCACUGGACGCAAGAAGACAGGGUGCUGACUGAUGCUGUUCAUGCCCUUGGAGAGCUGGCCGCAGAAGGAUGGGGAGAGGACCUGGGAGACCACAUGGAAGCUCUCCAUGUGUGACGGCUGUUCUCGUUGUCAACAUCUGGAAUUAACUCAAACCCACACAGCUGAGCUCACCUGUGAGGGAUUUUUUUUUCCUUAAUUAAAUCAUUUGAAAUAGGAAGAACUACUUCUAAUCCGGUGCUCUGAGUGCCAUUCCUUACAUUAGAGCCCAUUUCUUGGGAUUCCAGAGUACACUGAAGACCUGUGGAGACAUCCAUACUCAUGGACUGAACAACUAUUGGAUUCUUGGAACUUUCAUUGGUAAACAGCCAUUAUUGGAGAAGCUGGACCACAGUUUUGUAAGCCAUCCUAAUAAAUCCCCUUUAUCUAUCACACCUAUCUAUCUGUCUGUCUGUCUGUCUGUCCAUCUAUCAUUUGUUUUUUGGUUUUUUUCCCCUUUGGUCAGUUUAGUGGCUACACCUGAAUCUGCUGCUAUUUUAACUACUGUCUGUGGCUCCAUGAUCAGCAUCCCACUGCUCAGGCCACAGCCUGGUCAAAUUUCAGGUCCUGUUGGCCCCAGCUCUGCCAUUGCCACCAAAUGUAAUUUUUAACUAAGUCUCUAUUGUUGUAUUUAUCAAAAAAGACGCAGGAGUCAGAUGUUGGGUUGAAAACUUGCUAGCUCAGAAAAGUUGAGAAGCAACUAGCUGACUUUCCUUUUUGGUUGAUCACCCAGCAAGACAGUGUCCCUUUAGCUAUCCCACA